GCAUCGGUGGUUUAGUGGUAAAAUUAGCCGUUGCCACGUGGCCCGCCCAGGUUACGCAGUUUCGGCUAGCCCCGGGUUCGAUUCCCGGCCGAUGCA
rnacentral:tRNA from 1 species